AUUAACUGAUGAGUCCCAAAUAAGACGAAACACGCGUCAUUGAU
rnacentral:hammerhead_ribozyme from 1 species